CAGGAUGAAUGGCUGGCGGCGUGCCUAAUACAUGCAAGUCGAGCGUAACGGGGCUUCACGUUCCUUGACACACCUAGCGCUAUAAUCGUAGGUUGGUUAGAUUCGAGGGAACAGUGAAGCUGCUGACGAGCGGCGGACGGCUGAGUAACGCGUGGGAACGGCCCCAAAAAACUGAGGGAUAACUAGUCGAAAGAUUAGCUAAUACCGCAUGUGAUCUUCGGAUUAAAGGAUUUAUCCGGUUUGGGACUGGCCUGCGUAGGAUUAGAUAGUUGGUAGGGUAAUGGCCUACCAAGUCGACGAUCCUUAGAUGGUUUGAGAAGAUGAUCAUCCAGACUGGGACUGAGACACGGCCCAGACUCCUACGGGAGGCAGCAGUAGGGAAUCUUUCACAAUGGGCGAAAGCCUGAUGGAGCAACGCCGCGUGCAGGAUGACGGCCUUCGGGUUGUAAACUGCUUUUAUAACCGAGAAAUAUGAUGGUAAGUUAUGAAUAAGGACCGGCUAACUACGUGCCAGCAGCGGC
rnacentral:rRNA from 1 species